GCUGAGGUAUCUCACUCAUAAAUAUAGAAAAAUCUUGGCAUAAUUGAUUGAAUCUUAUUCCGCAGUCGGAAAUCAAUCUCUCCUCCUUCCACCCUGUCCCAACGAGGCAGGGAAUUUUAAGGGACUAGGAUUGCUGGUUUUCUUUCGGAUCAAGAAACUGAACGAGGCUCGAGUCGUGCGUGGUUUAAGGCCAUGAUGGAGAAAUUUGUGGCGAAAAUAACUGAUGCAGCCAGUGAGGGGAAGAAACUUGGAGUUGAAGAUCCAAGAAGAAUUAUUCACUCAUUGAAAGUAGGAUUGGCCAUAACUUUAGUUUCACUGUUCUAUUACUUUGACACUUUAUACCAAGGUUUUGGCGUUUCUGCAAUGUGGGCAGUUAUCACUGUGGUCGUCGUCUUUGAAUUCUCUGUAGGUAAGUUCAUGACGGUUGGUUGUGCUAACUAAGUUACUUAUUUCGCCCAACAAAACAUUUUUUUUUCCUUUCAGAAGGCAAGUUUAAGUUGCUUUCUAGAAAAAUAACUUGGUAUAAAGCACAUGCCAAACAUGGUUUCCUGGAAAUUCUUUAAGAGUUUAAACUUAUAGAAGUAAUCCUUUAUUUUGCAGGGGCGACGCUUGGAAGAGGCGUAAAUAGAGCUAUUGCAACAUUGUUAGCGGGCUCACUAGGCGUUGGAGCACAUCGGUUAGCCAAUAUUCUUGGGGAGAAAUUAGAGCCUGUAUUUCUUGGAUUUUCUGUUUUCUUAGUAGGUAAAAAAUAAAUAUAUAUAUCCACUGGAAGCGUGUUUGAUAAACAGCAUUGGUUUAGGCUACUACAAAUAAGAUUUUUAACAUAUUUUUGUUGCUAAAAGUUGAUAAAUUAAUGUACCUAGCACAUAUAAGAAACAUCCAGUUUUUAUGUAUUUAGACCAUCAUCAAAUUAAUUAUUGUUUUAAAUCCAAAUGGUGCAGUUUCUUCAGUAACUUUUAUCAGAUUUCAUCCUAAAUUGAAGGCAAGAUUUGACUAUGGACUUCUGAUAUUUAUCUUGACAUUCUGUUUAAUAUCCGUCUCUGGCUACCGGGACGACGAGGUUUUGAAAAUGGCACAUAAAAGGUUGUCCACAAUCCUCAUCGGUGGCUCGGCUGCUGUGGUGGUUUGCAGUUUCAUAUGCCCUAUAUGGGCUGGUGAAGAUCUUCAUAAUCUCAUUGCAGGCAACAUCGAAAAUCUGGGGAUCUUCCUCGAAGGUAAAUUUCACGCUACAUAGGAUUUUUUUUACCAUGCAAUAUUGGACAAUAUUGUCAUUUGUACAAAAUAAUGUAGAAGAAAAUUUACUUAUUUAUCCAUCACUCAUUUCUAUCACAUUAUAAUUUCGGUAACUUACAAUGAAAUCCAAACAAACACUUGAUUUCUUUGUCCUUUCCUUUGAGCCUAACCUAAAACUUCUGAUCAGGUUUUGGACAUGAAUAUUUCCAAACAUCAGAUGGCAAACUCCUAGAUGACAAAGCAUCUAUUGAUGAAUACAAAAGUGUUCUUAAUUCAAAAGGCACUGAAGAAUAUUUGGUGAGUUAUAAAAAUUUCUCUUCACACACAAACACACACUUUCAACUUUAACAUUGAAUUUGACUAAAUUAUUUCAAUUUUAUUGCAAUUUUUUCUGCAGGCAAAUUUUGCAAAAUGGGAGCCCAGACACGGUCGCUUCCGAUACCGGCACCCUUGGGAUCAAUACUUAAAAAUUGGGGUACUUGUGCGAGAAUGUGCUUAUCGCAUUGAUGCUUUGAACGGCUAUCUUAACUCGGAAAUGAAGGUAAAUUAGAAUCUUUUUUAGUACUCCGUUCAAUUCAUUGCUCUAUCUACUCAAAGGUAGAUCGUUAUAGUUACAUUGUAUAUUUUGUUUUACUUAGAAUUUGUUAUCGUCUGAAAGUGCAAGAUCACCUUGUACUCUUAUUAUUCGUUACAACGGCAAAAUGAACUUAACUCUCGUAAUUAAUGGGAGGUGCUGCUCUUCAUUUAUUUUGCCUGUUUUCUUUGUUAUUCAUAAUGCUAACGACUAGAAAUUAGGAUUCAAUCCUUAACUUGUCUCUCGCGGGAGAGAAAAUUCACCCGAAAAUUUUGUGCUAUUUCUGCAGACACCAGCAGAAGUCAGAGACAAAAUUCAAGAAUCAUGCACAAAGAUGAGUUCAGAAUCCAGUCUUGCUUUGAAAGAAUUAGCAUUAUCAAUUAAGACAAUGAGUUCUUCAUCCAUUGCUGAUCCUCAUAUUGUCAAUGCAAAAACUGCAGCCAAGAAACUGAAGUUACUGCUGAAAUCAGACAUGCGGGAGGGGACAGAUUUUCUUGAAAUAAUCCCUGCUGCCUCAGUUUCUUCUUUACUGAUAGAAAUUGUCUCCAGCACAGUGAAAAUUGCUGAUUCUGUUCAUGAACUAGCUUCCAUGGCAAAGUUCAAGAAUGAUGUUUUGAAGCAGAAG
rnacentral:lncRNA from 1 species